rnacentral:misc_RNA from 1 species
GGAGAAGUUCCUGUUGCUGAUUUACUGUGGUACUCUGCAGCUAGACCUUGUAGCAGAAAUUGUUUUGAUCGUGCAGAAAUUGCCCGUGUAAUGAAUGCAGCUGGCAGGAGACGAGAUGCUUUACCUCAGGACCUUCAAAAUGGACUAGAUCUUGGUGUGGUAUCCCCCGAAGUGCUACAGAACUUUUUUGAUCUAGAGCAAUAUCCUUUCAUUUCAGAGUUAACAGACCGCUUUCAGGGUUUUAGAGAAAGAUUGUUGGCUGAUCCUAAAUUUCUACAUCGAUUAGCUAUUGAAGAAUCUAUAUCAAUAACAACUACUCUGUUGGCACAGUAUGAGAAGCGCAAAGAGAAUUUUUU